GCUUCUUCUGCCAUUGCCAAUUUCUUAACUCCAUCAAGGCUACAGAGGUCAUUGCUGAUGAUGGCAGCAGCAGUGGUGACGUUGGUGACAUUGGUGAUGGUGGUGGGUCAGCACUCUGAGCAUCCAAUCUCAGUUGCCGUCCAAGACCUGACCAGAACCCAGAGAGAGCAAGCCUGUCCUCUUAGACCAAAAUCCCACCCGCUUACCUGUGACCACAUCCGAAUGGGCGGGGUCAGCGCCACAGCACGCGUCUACACGAAGUCCAGAAAUGUGGAAGCCCAUCGUGACUGGAACACAGCUUGCUGUAAAGCGUGUUUAAAGACCCAUGGCUGGUUGCCAUUCCCAGCUAAACUUUCGGUGCGCCCAAGGCCACUGUGGCACUUUGGCCAGCAGGUGGCGAUGUUGUGUUGCAGGGGAUGAGGCGAGAUUUGGCGGUUGUUACCUUCGUUUCUGUGCUUGGAAAGGAAAUGGAAGACUGGGGUUAGAGUCUGGGGGACUCUGCCUUACAGCAACACCGGUGCUUCAUGCUGCAUCCUUGUCAUGGUUGGAGGUCAGGCGGCUCUCCCCGGACUUCAGGUCACCUCAGGAAUCUGCAUCAGAGUUGCCUGGGCCCCUCCUUGCUGCAGGAGAGCAGACAAUCAUCGGAGUCCCCGCCUGCCACUUUGACUACUAAGAACCCUGAAUUUGGGGCUGGAGAGAUGGCUCAGAGGUUAAGAGCAUUGGCUGCUCUUCCAGAGGUCCUGAGUUCAAUUCCCAGCAAUCACAUGGUGGCUCACAACCAUCUAUAAUGAGAUCUGGUGCCCUCUGCUGGUAUGUAGGUAGAACAGUGUAUAUGUAAUAAAUAAAUCUUAAAAACAAAAACA
rnacentral:lncRNA from 1 species